UACGUAGGCAGCGAGCGUUGUUCGGAAUUACUGGGCGUAAAGAGUGUGUAGGCGGUGCUCUAAGUUCGGUGUGAAAUCUCCUGCUUAACUGGGAGGGUGCGCCGGAAACUGGAGUGCUUGAGCGUGGGAGAGGAAAGCGGAAUUCCUGGUGUAGCGGUGAAAUGCGUAGAUAUCAGGAGGAACACCAAUGGCGAAGGCAGAUCUCUGGGCCGUAACUGACGCUGAGGAGCGAAAGCAUGGGGAGCGAACAGG
rnacentral:rRNA from 1 species